GCAGUGGGGAAUAUUGGACAAUGGGGGCAACCCUGAUCCAGCCAUGCCGCGUGUGUGAAGAAGGCCUUCGGGUUGUAAAGCACUUUCAGCUGUGAGGAAAGGCGAGUGGUUAAUACCCGCUUGCUGUGACGUUAACAGCAGAAGAAGGACCGGCUAACUCCGUGCCAGCAGCCGCGGUAAUACGGAGGGUCCGAGCGUUAAUCGGAAUUACUGGGCGUAAAGCGCGCGUAGGUGGUUCAGUCAGUCAGAUGUGAAAGCCCCGGGCUCAACCUGGGAACUGCACCUGAUACUGCUGAGCUAGAGUACGGUAGAGGGUAGUGGAAUUUCCGGUGUAGCGGUGAAAUGCGUAGAGAUCGGAAGGAACACCAGUGGCGAAGGCGACUACCUGGACCGAUACUGACACUGAGGUGCGAAAGCGUGGGUAGCAAACAGGAUUAGAUACCCUGGUAGUCCACGCCGUAAACGAUGUCAACUAGCCGUUGGGGGACU
rnacentral:rRNA from 1 species